AUUGAACGCUGGCGGCAGGCCUAACACAUGCAAGUCGAGCGGUAGAGAGAAGCUUGCUUCUCUUGAGAGCGGCGGACGGGUGAGUAAUGCCUAGGAAUCUGCCUGGUAGUGGGGGAUAACGUUCGGAAACGGACGCUAAUACCGCAUACGUCCUACGGGAGAAAGCAGGGGACCUUCGGGCCUUGCGCUAUCAGAUGAGCCUAGGUCGGAUUGGCUAGUUGGUGGGGUAAUGGCUCACCAAGGCGACGAUCCGUAACUGGUCUGAGAGGAUGAUCAGUCACACUGGAACUGAGACACGGUCCAGACUCCUACGGGAGGCAGCAGUGGGGAAUAUUGGACAAUGGGCGAAAGCCUGAUUCAGCCAUGCCGCGUGUGUGAAGAAAGUCUUCGGAUUGUAAAGCACUUUAAGUUGGGAGGAAGGGCAGUAAAUUAAUACUUUGCUGUUUUGACGUUACCGACAGAAUAAGCACCGGCUAACUCUGUGCCAGCAGCCGCCGUAA
rnacentral:rRNA from 1 species